CACGUAGGGUGCAAGCGUUGUCCGGAAUUAUUGGGCGUAAAGGGCUCGUAGGCGGUUUGUCGCGUCUGCUGUGAAAACUCGGGGCUUAACUCCGGGCCUGCAGUGGGUACGGGCAGACUAGAGUGCGGUAGGGGAGACUGGAAUUCCUGGUGUAGCGGUGAAAUGCGCAGAUAUCAGGAGGAACACCGGUGGCGAAGGCGGGUCUCUGGGCCGUAACUGACGCUGAGGAGCGAAAGCGUGGGGAGCGAACAGG
rnacentral:rRNA from 1 species